GUGGGGAAUAUUGGACAAUGGGCGCAAGCCUGAUCCAGCAAUGCCGCGUGGGUGAAGAAGGCCUUCGGGUUGUAAAGCCCUUUUGUACGGAUGAAAUCCUGGUGGUUAAUACCCGCCGGGGAUGACGGUACCGUAAGAAUAAGCACCGGCUAACUUCGUGCCAGCAGCCGCGGUAAUACGAAGGGUGCAAGCGUUAAUCGGAAUUACUGGGCGUAAAGCGUGCGUAGGUGGUUUCUUAAGUCUGUCGUGAAAGCCCUGGGCUCAACCUGGGAAUGGCGAUGGAUACUGGGAGGCUAGAGUGCGGUAGAGGAUGGCGGAAUUCCCGGUGUAGCGGUGAAAUGCGUAGAGAUCGGGAGGAACAUCUGUGGCGAAGGCGGCCAUCUGGACCAGCACUGACACUGAGGCACGAAAGCGUGGGGAGCAAACAGGAUUAGAAACCCCAGUAGUCC
rnacentral:rRNA from 1 species